AUUGAACGCUGGCGGCAGGCCUAACACAUGCAAGUCGAACGGUAGCACAGAGAGCUUGCUCUCGGGUGACGAGUGGCGGACGGGUGAGUAACGUCUGGGAAACUGCCCGAUGGAGGGGGAUAACUACUGGAAACGGUAGCUAAUACCGCAUAACGUCGCAAGACCAAAGUGGGGGACCUUCGGGCCUCACACCAUCGGAUGUGCCCAGAUGGGAUUAGCUAGUAGGUGGGGUAAUGGCUCACCUAGGCGACGAUCCCUAGCUGGUCUGAGAGGAUGACCACCCACACUGGAACUGAGACACGGCCCAGACUCCUACGGGAGGCAGCAGUGGGGAAUAUUGCACAAUGGGCGCAAGCCUGAUGCAGCCAUGCCGCGUGUAUGAAGAAGGCCUUCGGGUUGUAAAGUACUUUCAGCGGGGAGGAAGGCGGUGAAGUUAAUAGCUUCACCGAUUGACGUUACCCGCAGAAGAAGCACCGGCUAACUCCGUGCCAGCAGCCGCCGUAA
rnacentral:rRNA from 1 species